CAGCAGCCGCGGUAAUACGUAGGGCGCAAGCGUUAUCCGGAAUUAUUGGGCGUAAAGAGCUCGUAGGCGGUUUGUCGCGUCUGCCGUGAAAGUCCGGGGCUCAACCCCGGAUCUGCGGUGGGUACGGGCAGACUAGAGUGAUGUAGGGGAGACUGGAAUUCCUGGUGUAGCGGUGAAAUGCGCAGAUAUCAGGAGGAACACCGAUGGCGAAGGCAGGUCUCUGGGCAUUAACUGACGCUGAGGAGCGAAAGCAUGGGGAGCGAACAGGAUUAGAUACCCCUGUAGUCCCUGUCUCUUAUAA
rnacentral:rRNA from 1 species